GGGCUCUUUGGACAUCAUUGUUGCCAAACCCUUCCGAUGUUAUUUUACAUCAGUAGGAUACUAUUUUUCAAAAAGUAACAAUUGCCCAAAAAUACAGAUCUUAAUUGCAAAUUUUCCAACCCAAUCUUCCACAGUACUAUUCAGCCCCGACCACGGACACUGCUUUUUUUAUUAUUUUCCCCGAAGUUAUUAAGGCCUGCGAAAAAAACUUCGUGCGCACACCCUAUUUAUACGUAUUAGUUAUUCCUUUUAUAUUUAGAAUUGCUACACAUCGUGUGGGUACCGAUUGUACGCAACCCUAGCAUAGCAUAAUGUACGUUCAAUUUUGAACGAAAAUGCUGAAUGCAAACUUCCGACGACGCUAUUAUGACCGUACGUCGCUGAGCUUGCUCUACAGAGUGUUUUCAUGGCGACCAUGUUCAGGAACAAAUCUGGAUCGAAAUUAAUAUACACAUUUCUUUUUUUAAAAAGCGAGUUUGCUCCUUAACAAACCACAUAAAAACACUCUAACCCUGGCGGUCUUUUCAUUAGAAAUAAUGCCGUAUUUACACUUAAUGCGCUUGUAAAUUGUCGUUACAACUUGAAUCUAAGGGACCGGUCAUUAUUUAUGGCGGGGGGUGGCACCGAAGAGAAAA
rnacentral:lncRNA from 1 species